ACGGAAGGCAGCAGUGGGGAAUAUUGGGCAAUGGGCGAAAGCCUGACCCAGCAACGCCGCGUGAAGGAAGAAGGUCUUCGGAUUGUAAACUUCUUUUAUGAGGGACGAAGGACGUGACGGUACCUCAUGAAUAAGCCACGGCUAACUCCGUGCCAGCAGCCGCGGUAAUACGGAGGAUCCGAGCGUUAUCCGGAUUUAUUGGGUUUAAAGGGUGCGCAGGCGGCUUUUUAAGUCAGUGGUUAAGUCGUGACGCUCAACGUCAUCACGCCACUGAUACUGGAGAGCUUGAUUGCGGUCGAGGUUUGCGGAAUUCGUCGUGUAGCGGUGAAAUGCAUAGAUAUGACGAAGAACACCGAUUGCGUAGGCAGCAGACCAGGCCGUAAAUGACGCUCAUGCACGAAAGUGCGGGGAUCGAACAGGAUUAGAUACCCUGGUA
rnacentral:rRNA from 1 species